GAUGAACGCUGGCGGCGUGCCUAAUACAUGCAAGUCGAGCGAACGGACGAGAAGCUUGCUUCUCUGAUGUUAGCGGCGGACGGGUGAGUAACACGUGGAUAACCUACCUAUAAGACUGGGAUAACUUCGGGAAACCGGAGCUAAUACCGGAUAAUAUUUUGAACCGCAUGGUUCAAAAGUGAAAGACGGUCUUGCUGUCACUUAUAGAUGGAUCCGCGCUGCAUUAGCUAGUUGGUAAGGUAACGGCUUACCAAGGCAACGAUGCAUAGCCGACCUGAGAGGGUGAUCGGCCACACUGGAACUGAGACACGGUCCAGACUCCUACGGGAGGCAGCAGUAGGGAAUCUUCCGCAAUGGGCGAAAGCCUGACGGAGCAACGCCGCGUGAGUGAUGAAGGUCUUCGGAUCGUAAAACUCUGUUAUUAGGGAAGAACAUAUGUGUAAGUAACUGUGCACAUCUUGACGGUACCUAAUCAGAAAGCCACGGCUAACUACGUGCCAGCAGCCGCGGUAAUACGUAGGUGGCAAGCGUUAUCCGGAAUUAUUGGGCGUAAAGCGCGCGUAGGCGGUUUUUUAAGUCUGAUGUGAAAGCCCACGGCUCAACCGUGGAGGGUCAUUGGAAACUGGAAAACUUGAGUGCAGAAGAGGAAAGUGGAAUUCCAUGUGUAGCGGUGAAAUGCGCAGAGAUGUGGAGGAACACCAGUGGCGAAGGCGACUUUCUGGUCUGUAACUGACGCUGAUGUGCGAAAGCGUGGGGAUCAAACAGGAUUAGAUACCCUGGUAGUCCACGCCGUAAACGAUGAGUGCUAAGUGUUAGGGGGUUUCCGCCCCUUAGUGCUGCAGCUAACGCAUUAAGCACUCCGCCUGGGGAGUACGACCGCAAGGUUGAAACUCAAAGGAAUUGACGGGGACCCGCACAAGCGGUGGAGCAUGUGGUUUAAUUCGAAGCAACGCGAAGAACCUUACCAAAUCUUGACAUCCUUUGACAACUCUAGAGAUAAAGCCUUCCCCUUCGGGGGACAAAGUGACAGGUGGUGCAUGGUUGUCGUCAGCUCGUGUCGUGUGAUGUUGGGUUAAGUCCCGCAACGAGCGCAACCCUUAAGCUUAGUUGCCAUCAUUAAGUUGGGCACUCUAAGUUGACUGCCGGUGACAAACCGGAGGAAGGUGGGGAUGACGUCAAAUCAUCAUGCCCCUUAUGAUUUGGGCUACACACGUGCUACAAUGGACAAUACAAAGGGCAGCGAAACCGCGAGGUCAAGCAAAUCCCAUAAAGUUGUUCUCAGUUCGGAUUGUAGUCUGCAACUCGACUACAUGAAGCUGGAAUCGCUAGUAAUCGUAGAUCAGCAUGCUACGGUGAAUACGUUCCCGGGUCU
rnacentral:rRNA from 1 species